rnacentral:lncRNA from 1 species
UGGGCCGUUAACCGUCCCUGCCCCAUUUCCCUUGUGGCCUUAUUUGCCAGGUAAAUUUUUUUUUCAAGUUUGUUUCUAAUAAAAUUUUUAAUAAUUUUAACUAUAAUAAUCUCAAAAAUUUUAAAAAUUUAAAAUUUUAUAUAUUUCAAAAAAAUUUAAAAUAUUAUAUAUUUCAAAAAGAUUUUUUACAACUCCUAUAAUAAGUUACCGUAAAAUUUUAGAUAAAAACGCCGAAAAAUUUACUUAUCAAACGCCAGUUCUCGGCACGAAGUAGUGAAUUAGAGCAAAAACUUGGGUAAAUCCGGUCUACGGUCCAACCUGUAGACCGAGUGACCCAUAAUGUGCCGCGUCCUCUUUUUAUUUUCAAGUUCUUUCGCCCCCUGAAAAAUCUACCAAUGACAGGAUCCUUCAAGCUUUUUCUCUGCAUAUCCUGACCUCAAACCUCCCAGUUACCGCUACCAUUAUGAUUUCCUCCAUCCCACCUAACUUCACCGCUCUCUUCUCUUAUGUGUUACCGCCGGCACCUCCUGCAAUUCUCCCAGUUUGAAAACUUCUCCUUCCUCUCCACGAGAUUCUCUUGCCCUUCAGUCUUUUUGAGACAAAAUCUACCUCUUUAUUUGUUUCAUCAUCUCCUCUGCCCAAUCUUUGAGUUUGAGUAUAUAAGACACUAAGACUUACAGUAGUGUCUCUUUAGUAGAUCUGCAAAUCAAACGAAAGACAGGACUCAUGAAUUUUCUUCCUUUCUUCUUCUCCCAAGAUUUUCUCUGCCUCAAGUUUGGCUGGCUCCUUUCUCAUGUGAUUUUGUUGAUAUAAAUUUGUUUGUUUGAGAAUGAGUUCCACCUUUCAACUGAUUACUUUGGCAUGCAUAAACGUGAUUCAAAAGGCAUCUCUAUAUAUUUUACUACACCACUCAGUUGGGGUGUUACCGUCGAGAGACAAAAGGGAAGAAAAGCAAGGCACUGCGAUUGAAGAAGCUCGGGAAGAGAUCCUGAGUCGGCGUCGUUUUAAAACAGUAAAGCUUCGAAGGAGCAAAUUUCUGAUUUCUCAGUACUUCAUUUGUAUUGAUGGCGUGGCACAUUGUAGGUCACUCGGUCUACGGAUGGGCUAGUAGACCGGAUUUAUCCAAGUUUUUGCCGUGAAGUAGCGGAGCAGUCUAUGAAUUACGAAUUUUGGGACGAGGGCCUGGACAGGCAGUUCACGGCCUAAAAAAUUUGUGCAGUUCUAAUUACGUCUUAUAAUUCGAUUUUUAUGUCGCGUGAGAUUCACAAAAAUAUUAUUCUAUUAUUAUUUAUUAUUAUUUUAUUAUUACACUUUAUAUAGAUGAUGUUACAUCAUAUAUAAAUGUUGUUACAUCAUAUAUAAAUGUUGUUACAUUUUCUGACAAUCACUCCAGUCCUGCCUCCCGAAUUUUGACCCCCUUUGGACUUUUCGGACCUAGUGUACCGUGCCCAUAUGAGACUCUUCGAAACAAGACACUGG